CGAACGAAUUCUCGUUGAUGAUCGGUGCUUGCACCGAGAUUCACAUCGAUUGAGUGGCGGACGGGUGAGUAACACGUGGGUAACCUGCCCUUAAGUGGGGGAUAACAUUUGGAAACAGAUGCUAAUACCGCAUAGAUCCAAGAACCGCAUGGUUCUUGGCUGAAAGAUGGCGUAAGCUAUCGCUUUUGGAUGGACCCGCGGCGUAUUAGCUAGUUGGUGAGGUAAUGGCUCACCAAGGCGAUGAUACGUAGCCGAACUGAGAGAUUGAUCGGCCACAUUGGGACUGAGACACGGCCCAAACUCCUACGGGAGGCAGCAGUAGGGAAUCUUCCACAAUGGACGCAAGUCUGAUGGAGCAACGCCGCGUGAGUGAAGAAGGCUUUCGGGUCGUAAAACUCUGUUGUUGGAGAAGAAUGGUCGGCAGAGUAACUGUUGUCGGCGUGACGGUAUCCAACCAGAAAGCCACGGCUAACUACGUGCCAGCAGCCGCGGUAAUACGUAGGUGGCAAGCGUUAUCCGGAUUUAUUGGGCGUAAAGCGAGCGCAGGCGGUUUUUUAAGUCUGAUGUGAAAGCCCUCGGCUUAACCGAGGAAGCGCAUCGGAAACUGGGAAACUUGAGUGCAGAAGAGGACAGUGGAACUCCAUGUGUAGCGGUGAAAUGCGUAGAUAUAUGGAAGAACACCAGUGGCGAAGGCGGCUGUCUGGUCUGUAACUGACGCUGAGGCUCGAAAGCAUGGGUAGCGAACAGGAUUAGAUACCCUGGUAGUCCAUGCCGUAAACGAUGAAUGCUAGGUGUUGGAGGGUUUCCGCCCUUCAGUGCCGCAGCUAACGCAUUAAGCAUUCCGCCUGGGGAG
rnacentral:rRNA from 1 species